GAUCAUUACAAGUUGACCCCGGCCCUCGGGCCGGGAUGUUCACAACCCUUUGUUGUCCGACUCUGUUGCCUCCGGGGCGACCCUGCCUCCGGGCGGGGGCCCCGGGUGGACAUUUCAAACUCUUGCGUAACUUUGCAGUCUGAGUAAAUUUAAUUAAUAAAUUAAAACUUUCAACAACGGAUCUCUUGGUUCUGGCAUCGAUGAAGAACGCAGCGAAAUGCGAUAAGUAAUGUGAAUUGCAGAAUUCAGUGAAUCAUCGAAUCUUUGAACGCACAUUGCGCCCCCUGGUAUUCCGGGGGGCAUGCCUGUUCGAGCGUCAUUUCACCACUCAAGCCUCGCUUGGUAUUGGGCGACGCGGUCCGCCGCGCGCCUCAAAUCGACCGGCUGGGUCUUUCGUCCCCUCAGCGUUGUGGAAACUAUUCGCUAAAGGGUGCCGCGGGAGGCCACGCCGUAAAACAACCCCAUCUCUAAGGUUGACCUCGGAUCAGGUAGGGAUACCCGCUGAACUUAAGCAUAUCAAUAAGCGGAGGAAAGGGCGAAUU
rnacentral:rRNA from 1 species